rnacentral:rRNA from 1 species
UACGUAGGGUGCGAGCGUUGUCCGGAAUUAUUGGGCGUAAAGGGCUCGUAGGCGGUUUGUCGCGUCGGGAGUGAAAACCUCGGGCUUAACUCGGGGCUUGCUUUCGAUACGGGCAGACUGGAGGUAUGCAGGGGAGAACGGAAUUCCCAGUGUAGCGGUGAAAUGCGUAGAUAUUGGGAGGAACACCAGUGGCGAAGGCGGCUCACUGGACCGGAACUGACGCUGAGGCGCGAAAGCGUGGGGAGCAAACAGG